rnacentral:rRNA from 1 species
AUGUUUCCCCUCCACCCAUCCUCUCUCUCCUCUCCUCCUUCCUCGUCCGCGCGCGCACAUCACCUAGCGCUCGCGUGCUCGGCUCCUGGACCAGCCGCCGCCGCACCGAUGGGGCUUGUCCACCGCGGGUUUCCAUGGGGAAGGAGCAGCGACGGGGGUAGGCCCCAGGCAGCGCACACUUCAUGGGGAGGCAAGGAACUAGGAGGUGAUGGGGUCAGAUCUGGUGGUGCUGGGUCGGAGCUCGAUCCCUCGCCUCCCGAACCAGCCGUCGCCGCGCCGCUGGGGCUCGUCCGCCGUGGGUUUCCAUGGUGA